UAACGGUCCUAAGGUAGCGAAAUUCCUUGUCGGGUAAGUUCCGACCCGCACGAAAGGCGCAACGAUCUGGGCACUGUCUCAACGAGAGACUCGGUGAAAUUAUAGUACCUGUGAAGAUGCAGGUUACCCGCGACAGGACGGAAAGACCCCGUGGAGCUUUACUGCAACCUGAUAUGGAAUGUUUGUACCGCUUGUACAGGAUAGGUAGGAGCCGAAGAGACGUGUGCGCUAGCAUACGAGGAGGCAAUGGUGGGAUACUACCCUGGCUGUAUGACCAUUCUAACCCGCCACGCUUAGCGCGUGGGGAGACAGUGUCAGGUGGGCAGUUUGACUGGGGCGGUCGCCUCCUAAAGAGUAACGGAGGCGCCCAAAGGUUCCCUCAGAAUGGAUGGAAAUCAUUCGCAGAGUGUAAAGGCACAAGGGAGCUUGACUGCGAGACUGACAAGUCGAGCAGGGACGAAAGUCGGGCUUAGUGAUCCGGUGGUUCCGCAUGGAAGGGCCAUCGCUCAACGGAUAAAAGCUACCCCGGGGAUAACAGGCUUAUCUCCCCCAAGAGUCCACAUCGACGGGGAGGUUUGGCACCUCGAUGUCGGCUCGUCGCAUCCUGGGGCUGUAGUCGGUCCCAAGGGUUGGGCUGUUCGCCCAUUAAAGCGGCACGCGAGCUGGGUUCAGAACGUCGUGAGACAGUUCGGUCCCUAUCCGUCGCGGGCGCAGGAAAUUUGAGAGGAGCUGUCCUUAGUACGAGAGGACCGGGAUGGACACACCGCUGGUGUACCAGUUGUUCCGCCAGGAGCAUCGCUGGGUAGCUAUGUGUGGCAGGGAUAAACGCUGAAAGCAUCUAAGCGUGAAGCCCCCCUCAAGAUGAGAUUUCCCAUUUCUUCGGAAAGUAAGAUCCCUGAAAGAUGAUCAGGUAGAUAGGUUUGGAGUGGAAGUGUAGCGAUACA
rnacentral:rRNA from 1 species